rnacentral:rRNA from 1 species
UACGAAGGGGGCUAGCGUUGCUCGGAAUCACUGGGCGUAAAGCGCACGUAGGCGGAUCUUUAAGUCAGGGGUGAAAUCCCAAGGCUCAACCUUGGAAUUGCCUUUGAUACUGGGGAUCUCGAGUCCGGAAGAGGUUGGUGGAACUGCGAGUGUAGAGGUGAAAUUCGUAGAUAUUCGCAAGAACACCAGUGGCGAAGGCGGCCAACUGGUCCGGUACUGACGCUGAGGUGCGAAAGCGUGGGGAGCGAACAGG